rnacentral:rRNA from 1 species
AUUGAACGCUGGCGGCAUGCUUUACACAUGCGAGUCGAACGGCAGCGCGGGCUUCGUCCUGUCGGCGAGUGGCGAACGGGUGAGUAAUACAUCGGAACGUGCCCAGUACUGGGGGAUAGCGCGGCGAAGGCCGGAUUAAUACCGCAUACGACCUGAGGGUGAAACCGGGGGAUGUUGGGACCUGGCGGGUUGGGAGCAGCCGUAGGCAAAUUAGCUAGUUGGGGGGGUAAAGGCGUACCAAGGCGACGAUCUGUAGCGGGUCUGAGAGGACGACCAGCCACACUGGGACUGGGACACGCCCCAGCCUCCUACGGGAGGCAGCAGUGGGGAAUUUUGGACAAUGGGCGAAAGCCUGAUCCAGAAAUGCCGCGUGUGUGAUGAAGGCCUUCGGGUUGUAAAGCCCUUUUGGCGGGAACGAAAAGGACUGUGCCAAUACCACGGUUCGAUGACGGUACCCGAAGAAUAAGCCCCGGCUAACUACGUG